AGCAUAUAUUCUGAGCUUCUCAAGACAACUUUCUCUGAGUUGAAAGAGUUGGGUCAUAGCUGAAGGUAUAGAUCCUUAUAUAUAGCAUUGUUGUUACUCUGUGUCUAUUGGAGUCCUAAACGUCUAUUGGUUGUGUGCAGAUAUGGGCUAGACAAAGGAGCUCGAUAUACGUCUAGACAAAGUAACACAUGGAUUUCAUAGGUAUGCUUAUACAGCUUCAGUCUUUUUGCUACGUUCAGUGUUUAAUACUGUUGGAAAACCCAUACGUCUUAUCAUGUAUGAUCGUCAAGGUUCUCUUGCCGUCUUCUCUGCAUACUAUGAUUUACUGAUUAUUAAUUAACGUUUAAAACUUUCAGGAGAAAUUGCGUUUUUGUUCCUGGCUGUUAUUUGUAAGCACUUGUGAAAUUGGCUUUCCGGAUGACCAGUGUUGGAUUCCACGAGGUUACCUUCAGCUGGAAAAAUUCUUAACUCAAUAAUAUAGCUCUCUUUUAUCCUAAACCCCUCUUUCUCUUUCUCUCCUCUUUCUCUUUCUCUCUUGCAGCCAGUUGCAGGAUGCUAACUACCGUCUCACCCACCGUCUCCGCCGUCAUGUUCUCUCUCAUCUCACAGCCCUCUCCUCCCUCAGGUAUUCACACCAUCUCUCUUUGUUUGUUCCAUUGCGUAUUCGUAUCUGUAAUCUCCUUUCCCGAUUUCUGAUUUAGCGAUUCUAAUCCGCCUAGAAUUUCAGGAACGUCUCCGAAAUCUAAUUUACCGUCAGAUCCUUCCCGCUUAUCCUAAGCUAGACGGCAUACGUGAUUAGCGUUUCCCGUGGCUGGAAGUACAUGUGAUAAGGACGACUUAUAAUUACUACGGAGGAGUUACGGAAAAGGCACGACUUCUAAUUACUACGCAUGUAACACAUCUACUUCUUUACCAACAUGUACAUCCUACCCAUUCUAUUGUCUGUACGCUACACAUAUCUAUACAUGACACAAUCAUUAAUAUACGUAACUGUAUACUAUCACUUAAACUAACCACAAUAGAAGAAGUAUGACACCUUCCCAAGAGUGCAUCUAGCUUUCUCUGUUGCCUAACAAUCUUUAUUCCUCAUCAUUACUCCCAUCUUCACAUUCAUGCCUAUACACUCCAAAAUCAUAUCAAUUUUCCAUUAGAAUCCCUUUCUGAAUUUCAGAAACUUCUGUACAAAUCUAUCAUGCAAGUUUCACUUUAAUCCAUAAAUCAUAUCCCUCUAUGCCGAAUUAAAGUAAAUAAAUAUUAUAGUCUUCAUUUUUCUUUGUAGGAACAUAUAUAACACUCAUUUUUCAAGAUAACAGAACAAGGAAAGGCUUUACUAGGCUGUUAAAAGAACUACUCGAUCUGUUCUGUGAUAUAUAAAGGCCCAUGUUUUUACUGGGAAUAAAAAAACAGGGCAUGAUUUGUCCACCACCAUAAAAAAAAAAAAUCCAAUAAACAAGUCGAUUCCUUCAAUUCCGACUGUUAUUUCAAAGCAAAAAUUUAAGAGUAAUUUACCAAACCAACGAGUCACGAGAGAAGUUAACCCAAGACAAAAGACAACAAAAAAACCUGAAUAUUAAAAUCAUUUUUUACUUUACUUUUCAGAGUUUUUUUUUGGGUCACGACUUUUCAGAGUUUAAAGCUCAAUAUAUUUGAUUUUUUAGUAGUCCAUAAAUAAGAUUUAAAACCGAAAAAAAGAGAUGAAAUAUAAUUCUGAAAACACAAUUAUGAAUUUUUUUUUAACAUACAUAAUAUAUACUGUAAAAGUGUAAGAGAAAAGUAAAAUGAUCUCAAACCAUUUUAUAGAGUAAGAACAAAAAAUAUUUUAUAUUUUCCAGUCUCAUAAAAAUCAUUGAGAAAGAAGAAAAAAAAAUAACCCCCAUUUUGAGUAUUUUGUGAUCAAAUCUCUUUAAAUUGUUUUAAACUCCACAAAAUAUAUACUAAAACACCAUAGUUUAGCAAAGAAACAAAAGUAUUAGACCAAAUGUGUUACCUUGUAGGGUGAUGUGAUGUCUCUUGUAUGUUGCUCAGAGAAUGAGAAAAUCAGAGAUAAGUUUGAGUGGUAGAAUAAAACAGAUGAACUGAAUGAAAACAGAGUAAUGAACAUCUGAAAGGUAAAAAUCAGUGUAAUAAAAUUUCUCUGUCCUUUUUUUUGUAAUCGAAAGUUUUAAAGAGUAAAAACGGGGAAAUAGGUAAAAAUCAGGUGGAUGAAACUUUCGUUGUCUGAAUGAGUAAACACGGCCGGGAUAUAUAUAGAGAUUAUUACCUACAUUUAUUAUUUAUUAUUUUUAUUCAUUAUAAUUACAACGGUCGAAUAAGUUACCGUUGUAACGUUCAAAUUUUGUUGCUUUUUCUUCAACCUAACGUUCUUCUGUCAUUUUUACAGAGACGGAGAUAAGAAAUGUGGAACCCUACGUGUAGACACGUGAA
rnacentral:lncRNA from 1 species